GUGAGCAUAGUUUAAAUAAAUCGCUAAGCUGUGGCCUUAGAGACAAGAGCCUUAUUUAGCCUCUUUGCCCACC
rnacentral:tRNA from 1 species